AGUACUUUUCAAUAAUAUACAUUACAACUAUAUAAUAAAUUAAUAAUAAAAUAGGCAUUUAACUUUGUUUUGUUGUUAAGUAUGCCAAAUAAGUAAUGGAAAUUUAUACUCCUUAACACAAUAGCAUAUUAAGUAUAAAAUUUUAGUAUAAAUUCGAAAUAUACUAAAUCUAGCUAGAUUUCUUUUACCUGGUUUUUUGACUUUUUUCUAUCAAUGAAAAGUCGGCCAAUGAGAUAGGGACACGUUAUUUACUGGGGGACAUAGGCGUGUAAGCGCCGGGGUGGACCUAGCGAUUUAGGUUACGAUCAGGGGACAUUCUCUCCGCCCGCAUAUGGGCUGCAUGCCGGCGUGUUUGAUUUGGUCACAUGGUUUUUGUCUGCUUGCUGUUUUGCCUGUGGCCGGCUGCAUGGCGCCGUGAUUCCUGGGCCGGCUGCUGCAUGUGCGUCUGCAUGCCGCCGUGGUUGAUUCAACUGCAUUUUUUUCUUACGUGCUUUUUCUGCCGUUCACUUGCAUGCCGUUUGAGUUUUUGCUUCUCUGUACGUGCGUGUCCAUCCACCUGUUACAUGGAUAGUGGUCAUUGUACGAUGUUGUUAUACGUCGAGUGCGUUGUGUUGAUUGGGAGCUCGCCACGUUAUUCGGUACUGCCACCGUCUGUUUAGAGGUUGACGUGUGUUGGGCUUCCAGGCGGUGCCGCUCUUGCCAUAUGGUCUCGAAACCAUUUUUCUCGAUCGUUCUGUAUCCUCCUGGUUGAUUCAAUUAAGGUUUCUUGUUCCUGGGGACGCUAUAUAUAGGUGGCUCUCCCCGUUGGUUCUCUUUGCCUUGUGGGCUACCAUUUCUAUUUUAUGCCUAUUGAUGGUUCGUCCUGCCUCUGCCCGGAGCUGGAGCAACUUGCGCCGCUCAGGUCGCCAUCCUGGUGUUCGAGCAGCCGUCAUUAAUCGGGUGUGUCAUGGCCGGAGCCGAGCUACUGCUUGAGGUCGUCGUGCGUUAGUGAGAGAGGGAUGCCGUUGGUGGCCGAUUGUCCGCUGUUCAUUCAUUGCGCCGGGGUCACCAUGCAGGGCUGGGUCUACAUCUUUAUAAUGAUUCGUCUGCUGGUGGUUUGUAUAUUCUGGCGGCCACAACCUCGGCGACCCGGGCUACAACGAAAGCGGCUGUGGUGGGGACGGACGAUGCUCCUGCUGCGCGCGGAGCUCUCGUGGAGGUGGCUCAUGCAUCUGGUGCGCCUGCAGGGGCGGCGGUAUUGAACUCUUGAUGGUGCGCAUGGCGUACGUCGUGACUCGUGAGGCAAAGCAGCCUGGGGGCGUGAGGUCGCCCGCUCGAUGGUGCCUGCGUGCAGGUUUCCCGGGAUCCGUCUUGGGUGCUAGAGCUAUCACGCCGCCGCCACUCCAGUCGCUGCCUCCGGCCGCUGUGAAGCUCCGCUGCUCGCAAGUCGUGCGGAGACAACCGUUGUCUAGCCCAGUUUACUUGUCGGAGCCGAUCCGGUGCUUAGAGAGAGAGAGAGGAGGUAGCGGUAUGGGGCUCAUGAUGCCAAGGUCCACGGUCCAGCUGCCACUGUCCUACCUCGGUCUAGGUUGAGCUCGAGGGCGGGAGCUGGCGGUGCGCUAGGGAACCGGAGGAACGAGAUUGGUUAGGCAAGAUCCGGAUGGGAGGAAUCUCCGCUGCUUUCCAGGGUCGCAGUCGUGGCCGUGCCGCCGUGCUCCACAGCAUGGAGUAUGCCAUCGUCACGGACUCAGACGACCAUUGCCCGGGUGAUUCUUUGCUGUUCGCGGCGUGGUUGGUCGCCACGACACUCAACUUCGCGGAUUCUACGUCCGGUGUCCGCUAUCGGCCGGCUCUAUGCAGGCGACUAUGAGGUGGCGGGGCAGUCGACGGGCCCUGGGCAUGCCGGCGCACGCGUUCUCGUCGACCAAUGGGCUAUUCUCCGGGACGCAUUGGGGGUGCUCAGCGGCUUCGUGUUGCGCGCGUCGCUGGACGCAGCCGUCGAUUAGGGAUCGCUGGCGGGUGCACGAGAUGGACGACCUGCUCAGGUUUGGCUACUCGAUGGAGAAUGACAACCAGGCGCGGAUCCGCCUGACUAUCAUGUCACGGGAGUUGACGAAAGACGACGUCGUCACGGUAUCCAGAGCCUGUACGAGAGCAACUCAAACUUCAAGGGCGUCACGCCGCCGGCGACGAGCUGCAGGGAAAUCCACAGCGGUCUGCGAGCAUGCACUUCGCGCGGUGGAGCGGCUUGGCUGGCGUAGCGCGCACAAGCGUUUGUGUGGGUAGUUGCUCAUCGAUGGACGACCUUUUUUUCAGAACCUCGUGAGCAUUUAAACACUGGUCACUGGGUGUGGAAGAUAGCGUAUAUUGUAUAUACGUGAUUUUUACAUGUAUAGAGCAAAUCAUACACGAAUUAAUAGAUACUGGAGGCUUUUCAAA